AAUAAUAAUAAGACAUCUUUUUUUUUCAGAAAAUAUUUUUAUUUACUAUUUCCUACAUUCUCAUUUGAUGAGCUAUUUCCCAGGAAACCAAUAAAAGAAACUUUAAUAUUCUGAUAUUCAUUCGUCGAGUAAACACGCGCCAUUUAUACAAAAAUGAAAUAUCCAUCGACAUUAGUAUCUUGAAUCGCUAACAAAAAGAAUCCAGAAACUAAAAUCGGAUUUGCAUUGUAUAAACCUAUAGAAUAUUUUCUAUGAGAAACAUGAGAAAUAGAAUAUUCAAAAAAUUUUAAUGAUGUAAUGCUAAUCUAAAAACAUCGAGUACAAUUCAAGAAGUAUUAUAUAGCUAGAUGUAUACAUUAAGAGAGAAUUAUCAGUUAAAAGGCAGAUACAAAAAUAGAAGCUGUAAUUACUUCUAUAGACUACUGUCGAUUGAAAUUGCGCGUUUAACCGCUUUAUCAGUUGAGAAAUAAUAACUUAAUAUAAUGCAGAUUACGUGACUUUUUCAUGUCAAUCUCACAAGAAUAUUUCAAUCGACAUAAACAAUCAAAUGUUCUGAUUGACAAAAUUAUAUUGUAUAUGAAAUGUAUAUUAAAUGAUUGAAAAUCUAAUUUGUAAGUAAUGUUUAUAAUGAUAUUCUUAAUUAUAUUUUAAAUAAUAUAAAUUAAAAAAUAUAAAAUAUCGAUAAUAUUCAAUACAAAUUAUAAUUUUAGAAGUAUAUUUUAGGUUAACCUUUCAUUCUAUAAAAAUGAAAUAUUUGGAGAAAAUUAAAUUAAAAAAAUAAAAGAUAUAAAGAUACAAAAGACAUUUUUAAUUGAUAAUGAUUAUAAAGUGAUAUUUUAACUAUUACAAUUAAAUAUAGGUCAACGAGAAAGAUUAAAUAAAAGUAUCUUAAUCAAAAACAUUACACGAAAUCAUAGAUGAAUAAGAGUCAACCGAUCAGCGCAUCUUUUCGUUCUGAGCAUGCGCACUUUACAGUUCUGAAGUCGUACAUAAGUAGGUACUACGUGAAUAUAACAGUGCAUAUUUCUUAGAGACAGAGGAGCUGGAUACAUGAAAGUUUAAUUAAUUCAAUGUAAUACAUAUAUUUGAGUAAAGAAGUUGCUCUACUCUAUGUCAUAUAUGUAUAUAUAUUUGCCUUUAGUAAAGUUGUAAAGCAUAGCUAUAGACUCGUAUAUGACAAGAGACUUCCAGAACUUGGUAAUCAUAAACAUGCGAUACGCAAUGCAGGACAAACAGAACGCGAGGGAUACAAUAAAGACAACCUCGAGUUUGUAAGUUGGGGAGAUUGGAAAUAAUUAUCUGCCGUCCCAUUUAUUAAUGGUCCAUGUACGAGUUAAUUUCGUUAAAAGUAUCAAAGACAGUGAGAUACAAUUUCUUUCCUCGUAUCAUGAGAUUUCCAACAAGACAAAUCGAAUUUCUAGAUGAGAAAUGGAACAAUUCUUAUAGUUAUAUAAACUGGAUUAAAUCGAUUAAAACACGUUGUUUGAACUUUGUGAAAAAUUGAAUAAUCAAGAAUAUUAAAUAUAAUUCGCUUCAAUGCGAUGUGCGACGUAUGAAUUAAAUAAUAAAAAAAAAAUAAUACAAGCCCAUUUUUGCAAACAAGAUAAAUAUUUUCAAGUUUCAAAAAUUCCAUAAAAAUGAAAUCUCAUGAAAUUCGAGUUUUCAAAAAUUAAAUUUCGGAAAAUAAAAAAAAUAUUUCGUAAAUCGAAUUCCCUAAGUAAAUGUUAGUUCUCAUUUGGAGAACGCUAUGAAAAUCGUGGUAUAAUGUUUUAAUAAAUUUUCGGAACCACGGUCACCGGCACUUCCGGUUAGAAUAACUUUUUCUCAAACAUGAAUUUACCUUUGUCCUAAUGAGCAGCGAUUCAGCGGCAACGAUAUUAUGGUAAUUUACCCGAUAAUCGAUUUCGUGGAGCGUUGCUCCACGACCCUACCUGUGACCGCGAUUUCACUUUUCCGUUCCUAUCCGGACAGCCGCGAGGGCAAUAACGUUUUAUCGCGGUUACGCGCGGACGCCGCCAUAAUCGCGGAGAACCGCUGGCGAUUCGAGCGCCAACGUAUCGUAGAAAAAGGUUGAAACUUGACGAUAAGACCGUAUCGCUCCAACAACGCCGAGUGAUUACACGUUCGGGCAACUGAGCAGUGUUAAACUUAAUUUAAAGAAAAAGAAAAUAAAACAGUGAUGUGAAAGAAUCUUGAAAGGAACAUUCCUUUUGAUCUUUUCCCUCUUUUUUUUUUUUUUACAUACUUCGUGUGGAAGAGUGCGUGUGAGAAUUCAUGUAUUUCGUUAACUUUAUAGGUUAAGUUAUUAAGGACGUAAUGCGAUUCUUAUACACGUAUGAUUGUUUGUUAUUAUACGAUAUAUAUAGUAAUUUUAAAUUAAGUAACGAGUAUUUAAAAUUUUUUUAUCAAUAAUUGUAGUUUAUUAUCCUUGUUGUUUACGAGCUGAUCAAAAUUUUUGUUUAUAGAUCGCUUUCAAGAUCUUAUUUUCAAUCAAAUAUUUUAAUUUCUGUGUAUAUUAUAAUUCUCUUUAAUCAAUAUGUAUAAUCAUUGUUGUAUUGAAAUAUAAAAGGAAAUUAAAUUAAUAUUUGAACACUAUUGCAUGCAUACAAAUACAUUGUUAUUUUCACUUUCGUUUAUCUAAUGAAAUUUUCGAUUAAGCGAUACAUUAUCUAGAAAUAAAACGACGUGCAUAUAUUAUUUAUCAAUAUAUGUAUAUAUAUAUAUAUAUAUAUAUAUAUAUCAAUUCUAGUUAACUCGAUACAUUACAUGCAUCAGCUUCGGAUUAAUUAAUAUAUUUCGAAUCUUCGCUAUAAAAAAAAAAAAAAUACGCAAUCCACUAUUCAAUCAGGUAAUUAUUCCUCUGUUCUGGUUUCAGCAACGAUCCCGCUAAUAGGAUAAUAAUAAUUUCACCUUGGUUGCUGCGAGAAUUGCAUUAAAUUAUAUAAGAACAAGCGAACCAUAUUCAAAAACCAGUAAAAUGAGACCCUGACAUCGCUUUUAUGAUCCUUGUUCGUUGCAAGGUUAUAAAAUAUAUAAGAAGUUAAGAAGAUUUAAUGGAAUGAAUUUUUUUUUAUACUUUUCAUAUUAAUAAUAUCUAUUUUUAAAUUUUUUUUUGUAAGUAGAUUCAAUUAAAAGAAGGACUAACUUAAUAAUCUUAACUUAAGUCAAAAUAUUUAUCUCGAUUAUUGUUUUUUUCUCCAAUCAAACUUAUCUUGAAAUAAAAUAUUUACUUUGAUUAUUCUAGCUUAAGUUAGGUUAGGUUGAUCUUUAAACGUUCAGCAAUUGUUACUUUACUUUACUUUGAAUAUUUUACAUACUUUUGCAUUUUACUCAUCGUUUAUGUUAUCACAAUUUUCCACCUGUUCACUCUCUCCAAAUUCUUACAAUUUUAUUUAAAUUUAUGAAUCUCUUAAUCCGUCCGAAUCACGAAUCCUAUCAUUCUCCAAUUUUCCUCGAUCGUUUUAAUCCUUUCCUUCCUUACUUAAUUAUCCUCAAAACCUGAAUAAGAAUCGAAGAUUGAAAGAUUCGACGAAAUUUUAAUUUCCUGGAAUAAUUAAUUUCAAAGAAGCCCAUUAUCAAAAAUCUCCCUCCCUCAUAAAUUUAAAAGACAUUUUAAUCCAUGAACGUUGACAAAUAUUGCACGAUUUUGCGUGAAACGGUCUCUAUAGCGGGGAUCAAUUCGAAUCAGUUGAAAACCAGUUUCAUUAAUCGAAUGGAUCCGAGCGUGUUGAACGGUUUCGAAAAUGGCGUUUCGAAGGGAACGAAUUAUUCGGCUGGCGACGACAGUUCCGAUUCUGGCUUUUCUUAUUCGAUCGGCCGAAUUUCGUGGCCUCCCUGUUCACAAAACGCUUCAUUGCGGAUAAAAUCCCUGACAUUUCCACGUAACCAUGGCCCGUCAGUCGAAUUCGUUCGUCAAAUAUCACGAUCAUGAAUGUAGCUCGAUCAAUGAGAUUUGUAGAUUAUUUUAGGUUAAGUUGUCAUAAUAUACCAAGUUUCGACUAUUUUUUUGGAAAUGGAAUAUAGUUAUCGAUAAACGAGUGGAAAAUGGAAUAUAAAUAUCAUUUCGUAGUUAGAUUGGAUAAAAUUGUGCGAAUAAUAAAUAAAAUUUAAAAUUCAUGAAAAUCAAUUUAAUUCUUACAUUCUUGUUUAUUUUUCAACUUUUUUUUUUACGAAUUUUUUAAAUUUAUUAAAAUUUUCGAUAUUAAUUCACGGAAUGGUUUAAAAUUGAAAUAAUAUUGAUUCCGUUAAAAUUACUUUACAACGAAUUGAAAAUAUAAUGUUAAUUUUUUAUGUUUUUUUUUUCUUUUUUCGAACUUUUGUAGUCGAUCAAUUUGAUAAUAUUCCUUUUCUUUUUCUCGUUAAAAUUAAUUAUUCGUUUCAAUUACGUAUGUUAUAUUCGUUAUUCACACGAUAUUAUCCCCAAAUUUAAUUAAUCAGUCAAAUUAACCACGAUCCUAUAAUAAUCUCCGACAUUUUUUUUAAUUACACGAGAAACCACUCUGUGUAAACAUACAGCUGAAUUUCCUAUUGCAUCCUUCGCAUCUAAAUCUUGGAAACAAGACAAUAUUUACCAAAAAACAUCCUCUCAACCCUGGCUACAUCAACGCAGCAUUCUUUUCUCCGGUGAAACACCCCGUACAUCUCGAGCCCUCUCGUUCCUCCUUUUCACCGUGCGGCAUCUCUUUUCAGGCGUAAAUUUUCUCCCCUUUUUAACAACGACCCCUUCUCCUCCGUCCCCGUCUGCACUCGAGCUCUGCAACUUUUAAUCCUGAAGACCCUUUCUUCCACUCUGGCUGCCAGUCCGGAUACGUAACGCGGAUCUGAAUAACGACUCAUCGAGUCGUGCAAUCGACGAUUACCGAAAGUUGCUGUCCAUUCAACAGUUCGUCUCUCGACUAAUGAAUUACACGGUCGACCCGUGCAAUUAUUCUCCUCUUAUUCUUCUUUUCUUUCUUUCUUUCUUUUCUUCCUUCUUCUUGUAUUCAUUGCCUCUUUGUUCCUUUGUUUCGAGAUCGACAGCGCGUUAAAAAAAAAAAAAAGAGUAUCUCGAUGGUGAAAGUGAUCGUCGAUACGAGUAAACCAAGAGCUGCGAGACUUUGGCAGAAGUCGACCUUUCCGUGCAAAACUCGCUUUUGCAAGGAUUGUGCAAGUAAUAUUUUUUUUUGUUUCGCGAUCUCGUUGUUAAAUAACCUUCUGGCCUUCUGUCUUCGUAUCGAGAUCGUUCCAUUUCCUUGCAAACCGAUGUUCGUAGGAUAUUAUCUUUCGUUAUCUCUUUCGUAUUUUCUUUUUUAUAUCUUGAUAGACACGAUUUGAAAAGAAAAUUUGCUUUUGUAUCUUUUAGUAUUACUUAGCUUUCACGUGUUAGAAAAAUACACGGUUAAAUGCGCGAUACGAACCUUUUCUCGUUGCUCUCGUUCUGCCAUCUAUCGUCUAAUAAUAGAAUCUAUUUUUAUCCCGCGUAAAUUUGAAUCGUAUGAUAUUUCUUCGUCAAUUUUUUUUUUUUUUUAAAUAUUUUGUUGAAUUAUAGAUGCGUACAUAUGAAAUUUGAGGUGAAAAUUUUAUUUUCGCCUGAAUGGAUAAAUGGACGAUCGAAUAUAAAACUGUUCAACAGUAAAUUUCACAUUUCUAAUCAAUUUCGACGAAAAUUAACGAACGUCUUCGACGCAAGGUUUUCGGCAAAAUAUCUCUACAUUUACUACUCACCGCGGAAUGCGUUUGAACGUUGGACAAAUUGUAUUUAACUGGUCGAGUGAGCAUGUUUAACAAUUCACACCAAACAAAUAAUUCCAUGGUGUGAGACGUUGAAAAAUUCAUCCGACAAGCAUUCAAAGUUUGCAACGCGUUAAAUAUGCAAUCGAUCCAACGGAGAUUGUUCUAUUCGAUUAUAAAUCCGGCUUUAGAAUUUGAUUUGACGUUUGAAAUGAUUAAAACUUUGAAUAGAAAAAACGCUAUUGGGGACGAAAUUAUAUUUAAAUUAAAAAUUUAUAA